GAAGUCGGUCCCGGUCCCGGGUUGUGGCUGUAGAAGUCUGUCCCGGUCCGGGUCGGGUUGUAGCUGUAGAAGUCGGUCCCUGUCCGGUUCGGGUUGUAACUGUAGAAGUCGGUCCCGGUCCGGUUCGGGUUGUAACUGUAGAAGUCAGUCCCGGUCCGGUUGUAACUGUAGAAGUCAGUCCCUGUCCUGGUCAGGUUGGGAGGGGUGUCAGUGCUGUUACUCUGAAGGUAUUGCACUUGUCCCGGCCUGUUUAGGAUUGAGGAGAUGGUGCUGCUACUCUUUGAACCUGCUAAAGCAGUAAUUGUUUAAAAUGAAUGAAUGAAACAUAUAUUUACCAAAAAUGAGACUUGUAUGUUUUCUGUCAUGAUUCUGUUUUUCUAGAUUUGUUUUUAAUGAAUGAAGAGGUAGUUUUCUAAGUUGUAGAUUGAUUGUCGGAGCUUAAAUGUGUCCAUAUGGGGAGUAAUUGUUUCAUGCUGUGGUUUUGUCUCAAAUAAAGUUUCCAUGUAAAUUAGCUUCCCGUUUCAAAGUUUCCAUUGGGCUUUGAUUUGAAAUGUGUAGCCAGCCUGCUUCUCCAGAUGUGAUUGGGUGUAAGGAUGCUUCUCCAGAUGUGAUUGGAUGUAGGGGUGGUGGGAUGUUCAGAUAUAUUAUCUCCACCCUGCUUCUCGAGAUGUGAUUGGAUGUAAGGAUGCUUCUCGAGAUGUGAUUGGAUGUAAGGAUGCUUCUCGAGAUGUGAUUGGGUGUAAGGAUGCUUCUCGAGAUGUGAUUGGGUGUAAGGAUGCUUCUCGAGAUGUGAUUGGGUGUAAGGAUGCUUCUCGAGAUGUGAUUGGGUGUAAGGAUGCUUCUCGAGAUGUGAUUGGAUGUAAGGCUGCUUCUCGAGAUGUGAUUGGAUGUAAGGCUGCUUCUCGAGAUGUGAUUGGAUGUAAGGAUGCUUCUCGAGAUGUGAUUGGAUGUAAGGAUGCUUCUCCAGAUGUGAUUGGGUGUAAGGAUGCUUCUCCAGAUGUGAUUGGAUGUAAGGAUGCUUCUCGAGAUGUGAUUGGAUGUAAGGAUGCUUCUCGAGAUGUGAUUGGAUGUAAGGAUGCUUCUCGAGAUGUGAUUGGAUGUUCAGAUAUAUUUUAUCUCCAAUCUCCAAAUGCCUUUAAUCUUCGAAUGGGAGAUACUGUGACGGACAGUGUCACACAUCAUAACAUGAGUCAUGUGGUCUUUGGGAAAAGGACCUUUCUGACAACUGGAGCACAGGAGGGUUUUGAAAUCAGAUUUCAAGGCCGACAAAAGAGGUGGCAGGUAACCUAGUGGUUAGAGUGUAGAGGAGGCAGGGUAGCCUAGUGGUUAGAGUGUAGAGGAGGCGGGUAGCCUAGUGGUUAGAGUGUAGAGGAGGCGGGUAGCCUAGUGGUUAGAGUGUAGAGGAGGCAGGGUAGCCUAGUGGUUAGAGUGUAGAGGAGGCAGGUAGCCUAGUGGUUAGUGUAGAGGAGGCAGGUAGCCUAGUGGUUAGUAUAGAGGAGGCAGGGUAGCCU
ensembl:lncRNA